GCCGACCUGGUCGACGGCCACGUCACCAUCGCCAUCGGUGAUGGUGACCACGGCGUUGAUCUUGCCGGCGAGGCUGACGC
rnacentral:tRNA from 1 species